rnacentral:rRNA from 1 species
AUUGAACGCUGGCGGCAGGCUUAACACAUGCAAGUCGAGCGCGCGGCGGACGGGUUAGUAAUGUCUGGGAAACUGACUGAUGGAGGGGGCUAACUACUGGAAACGGUAGAUAAUACCGCAUACCAUCGGAUGUGCCCAGAUGGGAUUAGCUAGUAGGUGUGGUAAAGGCUCACCUAGGCGACGAUCCCUAGCUGGUCUGAGAGGAUGACCGUGAACAGUGGAACGAUGCAACGGUCCAUAGUGCAACGGGAGGCAGCAGUGGGGAAUAUUGCACAAUGGGAGAAAGCCUGAGACAGCCAUGCCGCGUGUAUGAAGAAGGCCUUCGGGUUGGAAAGUACUUUAAGCGGGGAGGCGUUACCCGCAGAAGAAGCACCGGCUAACUCCGUGCCAGCAGCCGCGGUAAUUC